rnacentral:lncRNA from 1 species
AAGAGGAAUUCACGCACAACAAAUGGUGAAGACGGGCAGCAACACUGAUGACGAUAGCUUGAAAACAAAACAUGGCAUCGUCUGGAAAAGAUGAGUGAAUCUCCAUCUAGAACUGAUGCAGUCCAAAAUGACCUGGAAGAACUAUUUUGGAUUCUUUUCCUGCAAAACAUCGAUCAAAACCAUGUCUAGAGUAAAUUUUACUUCACACUGCUUGCUCUUCUGUUAUCCACAAUAGUGGCUUGAGUAGAACGCAGCUAGAACAUGAAGAAGAAUCGUAGCCAGAAACAUGACAAUAUCCUUAAAAAGGAGAGGGAUCUACCAUACAGCAUAGUACGGAUUGAGAUAACACAGCCCGGAUAUAACAAGAGCACAUUUGACCAACACAUCUAAGAAAGCCGAGAACCAAGGAGAACAAAACAGGAACAAGGAUAACCAGAGGACAAGAGGGCUAGCCACGACCGUCGAUCGAACAGAUCCGGACCUCCAUCAUCACACCAGAGGGGAUCUGGUCAUGAUAAGAAGAAACAGCCUCAUCCGCUUCAAAAACGCUUUUCCACAACAACUUAUACCGAAC